CUAACGAUUCUGCCAGCUCGCCGCCUUCGCCUUGAUUAAUAUUAAUAAAUAUUAAUAAAUAUUAAUCAAGGCGAAGGCGGCGAGAUGGUAGAAUCAUUG
rnacentral:pre_miRNA from 1 species